GCCUGGGUGGCUCAGUCGGUUGAGCGUCCGACUUCGGCUCAGGUCAUGAUCUCACGGUUUGUGGGUUCGAGCCCCGCGCUGGGCU
rnacentral:tRNA from 1 species